GACGAACGCUGGCGGCGUGCUUAACACAUGCAAGUCGAACGGAAAGGCCCUGCUUUUGUGGGGUGCUCGAGUGGCGAACGGGUGAGUAACACGUGAGUAACCUGCCCUUGACUUUGGGAUAACUUCAGGAAACUGGGGCUAAUACCGGAUAGGAGCUCCUGCUGCAUGGUGGGGGUUGGAAAGUUUCGGCGGUUUGGGAUGGACUCGCGGGUUAUCAGCUUGUUGGUGGGGUAGUGGCUUACCAAGGCUUUGGCGGGUAGCCGGCCUGAGAGGGUGACCGGCCACAUUGGGACUGAGAUACGGCCCAGAGUCGUACGGGAGGCAGCAGUGGGGAAUAUUGCACAAUGGGCGGAAGCCUGAUGCAGCAACGCCGCGUGCGGGAUGACGGCCUUCGGGUUGUAAACCGCUUUCGCCUGUGACGAAGCGUGAGUGACGGUAAUGGGUAAAGAAGCACCGGCUAACUACGUG
rnacentral:rRNA from 1 species